rnacentral:rRNA from 1 species
UCGAGGAUCUUCGGCAAUGGGCGCAAGCCUGACCGAGCGACGCCGCGUGUGCGACGAAGGCCUUCGGGUUGUAAAGCACUGUCGAGGGGGAGAAAAGCCCGUAAGGGUCUGAUCUAUCCCUGGAGGAAGCACGGGCUAAGUUCGUGCCAGCAGCCGCGGUAAGACGAACCGUGCAAACGUUGUUCGGAAUCACUGGGCUUAAAGGGCGCGUAGGCGGGCGGUCAAGUCAGGGGUGAAAUCUUUCGGCUCAACCGGAAAAUAGCUUCUGAUACGGAUCGUCUCGAGAGAGGUAGGGGCAUGUGGAACUUCCGGUGGAGCGGUGAAAUGCGUAGAUAUCGGAAGGAACGCCGGUGGCGAAAGCGACGUGCUGGACCUUUCCUGACGCUGAGGCGCGAAAGCUAGGGGAGCAAACGGGAUUAGAUACCCCCGUAGUCC